rnacentral:rRNA from 1 species
GACAGAGGGUGCAAGCGUUGUUCGGAAUUACUGGGCGUAAAGCGCACGUAGGCGGUCUUUUAAGUCGGGGGUGAAAUCCUGGAGCUCAACUCCAGAACUGCCUUCGAUACUGGAAGACUCGAGUCCGGGAGAGGUGAGUGGAACUGCGAGUGUAGAGGUGAAAUUCGUAGAUAUUCGCAAGAACACCAGUGGCGAAGGCGGCUCACUGGCCCGGUACUGACGCUGAGGUGCGAAAGCGUGGGGAGCAAACAGG